rnacentral:misc_RNA from 1 species
AGCCGAGCUGAGCAGGACCAGC